UACAGAGGAUGCAAGCGUUAUCCGGAAUGAUUGGGCGUAAAGCGUCUGUAGGUGGCUUUUUAAGUCCGCCGUCAAAUCCCCAGGGCUCAACUCUGGAACAGGCGGUGGGAAACUACCCAAGCUGGAGUACGGUAGGGGCAGAGGGAAUUUCCGGGUGGAGCGGUGAAAUGCGUAGAGAUCGGAAAGAACACCAACGGCGAAAGCACUCUGCUGGGGCCGACACUGACACUGAGAGACGAAAGCUAGGGGAGCGAAUGGG
rnacentral:rRNA from 1 species